UACGGGGGGAGCAAGCGUUGUUCGGAUUUACUGGGCGUAAAGGGCGCGUAGGCGGCCACCGCAAGUCGACUGUGAAAUCUCCGGGCUUAACCCGGAAAGGUCAACUGAUACUGCAGGGCUAGAGUGCAGAAGGGGCAACUGGAAUUCUCGGUGUAGCGGUGAAAUGCGCAGAUAUCGGGAGGAACACCAGUAGCGAAGGCGGCUCGCUGGGCCAUUCCUGACGCUGAGACGCGAAAGCUAGGGGAGCGAACGAGG
rnacentral:rRNA from 1 species